GCGUCAGUAGUGCAAUAGUUAUCAAACGCUUCCGGAAAGAGUGAGAUCUGGGUUCGAAUCCCGGCUGACGCA